rnacentral:misc_RNA from 1 species
GCGCAGUUUUUGUCGUCGAGUCAAAGUGCGCGGAUCACUCCUCGAGUGAGCUAACAAUUCCUGCCGAAUUGAAUUAAAUAUUUGUUAAGUGCAAGUUUAGGUGUUAGUUGUUGUUGUUGCCGUUAAGUCGAGUUCGUAAGCAGGUGCAAAGGUGCCACAGUGAGUUAAUAGCAAAACAAGUCCGUCAGUUUUAGUUGGAAAGCGAAGCCAAGAAGAUGGGAAAAUUCGAAUACUCACUGGGUCUCAAUGAGCUCAAAUCCAAGGAGCUGCGAUUGUGGCAGGCCCUGAUUGGAGAGUUCCUGGGCAAUCUGAUCCUCAAUUUCUUUGCCUGCGGCGCAUGCACCCAAAUUGAGGAUGGCACCUUCAAAGCCUUGGCUUUUGGCCUGGCCAUCUUUAUGGCCAUCACGAUUGUGGGUCACUUGAGUGGUGGUCAUGUGAAUCCUGCCGUUACCGCUGGAAUGUUGGUCGCAGGACGAAUUAGCUUGAUCAGAGCCUUUUUCUAUGUGGUUUUCCAGUGCCUGGGUGCCAUUGCCGGAACUGCAGCGGUUAAGAUUCUCAUCGAUCAGGACUAUUAUAAUGGCCUAGGUCACACCUCGCUGGCGCCCAAUAUCACCGAGCUGCAGGGCCUGGGAAUCGAGUUCUUCCUGGGACUCCUGCUGGUGCUCGUCGUCUUUGGGGCCUGUGAUCCCCACAAGCCCGAUUCCCGCUAUACGGCGCCCCUGGCCAUCGGAAUGGCGGUGACCCUGGGUCACUUGGGCACCAUUCGGUACACCGGGGCCAGCAUGAAUCCCGCCCGCACUGUGGGCACCGCCUUUGCCACCGACAUCUGGGCGUCGCAUUGGGUAUACUGGGUGGGUCCUGUGCUGGGGGGCGUGGCUGCCGCCCUGCUCUACACCCAGGUCCUGGAGGCGAAGCCCGUGCCGAAGGUGAACGAGGCAUCCGAGAAGUACCGAACGCACGCCGAUGAACGCGAGGUGAGAGUCAGGUUGAUAAGCGCCUGGAGCGAGGAGUCCUUCUACUGAUCCGUGAUUCCGCCCACCCAUUACACACACACACACCCAUCACACACACAAACACUCACUCACACUUGCAUUAUGCGCAAACUGGAGGGAGCCCGCGACUACGCCUAGAUAUAAGGAAACCUAUGCGACUCGAAUCUAGGGAUACAGAUGAGAUCUGUGUGUUUAAUCCAUUCAUUUCAGUGUCUAACAUACCCAUGUCGUGUUCUUCUGCGUUCGUGUGUAUUUAUGUAUUUAUUCAUGCAAAGUUCAUUUUUAACUAACUAAUAUUUAAUGUGUAAGCUGCCCUAAAAUGCAAUCUACAACAAAAUUACUUGUACUCUCAUGCGUUCACAAUAAAGUGGAAAACAUUAACUGAAA